rnacentral:pre_miRNA from 1 species
AUAUUACUCCCUCCGUCCGGAAAUAUUUGUCGAAGAAAUGAAUGUAUCUAGACGUAUUUUAGUUCUAAAUACAUUCAUUUUUAUUCAUUUCUUCGACAAGUAUUUCCGGACAGAGGGAGUAUUAU